GGAGCACGCCGCGUGAGUGAUGAAGGUUUUCGGAUCGUAAAACUCUGUUGGGGGGGGGAACAAGUACAAGAGUAACUGCUUGUACCUUGACGGUACCUAACCAGAAAGCCACGGCUAACUACGUGCCAGCAGCCGCGGUAAUACGUAGGUGGCAAGCGUUGUCCGGAAUUAUUGGGCGUAAAGCGCGCGCAGGCGGUCCUUUAAGUCUGAUGUGAAAGCCCACGGCUCAACCGUGGAGGGUCAUUGGAAACUGGGGGACUUGAGUGCAGAAGAGAAGAGUGGAAUUCCACGUGUAGCGGUGAAAUGCGUAGAGAUGUGGAGGAACACCAGUGGCGAAGGCGACUCUUUGGUCUGUAACUGACGCUGAGGCGCGAAAGCGUGGGGAGCAAACAGGAUUAGAUACCCUGGUAGUCCACGCCGUAAACGAUGAGUGCUAAGUGUUAGAGGGUUUCCGCCCUUUAGUGCUGCAGCAAACGCAUUAAGCACUCCGCCUGGGGAGUACGGCCGCAAGGCUGAAACUCAAAUGAAUUGACGGGG
rnacentral:rRNA from 2 species